rnacentral:rRNA from 1 species
GACGAACGCUGGCGGCGGUGCCUAACACGAUGCAAGUCGAACGAAGAAUGUUUUUCGGAAUAUUCUUAGUGGCGGACGGGUGAGUAACGCGUGAACAAUCUGCCCCGUACAAAGGGAUAGCCUCGGGAAACCGGGAUUAAAACCAUAUAACACUUAACUGCCGCAUGGUAGUGAAGUCAAAUCGAUUAAGAGGUAUGGGAUGAGUUCGCGUCUGAUUAGCUAGUUGGUGAGGUAAGGGCUCACCAAGGCGACGAUCAGUAGCCGGCCUGAGAGGGUGAACGGCCACACUGGAACUGAGACACGGUCCAGACUCCUACGGGAGGCAGCAGUGGGGAAUAUUGCACAAUGGAGGGAACUCUGAUGCAGCGACGCCGCGUGAGUGAAGAAGGUCUUCGGAUCGUAAAACUCUGUCCUUGGUGAAGAAAAGGACGGUAGCCAAGGAGGAAGCCCCGGCUAACUACGUG